UGACCAAUCCCGCAAGGGGUCUUGGAGCUCGCUAUUCAGCGGCCCCUAAAAUCAGUGGCGGUGCCAUCUGGCUCUAAGCGUAGUAACUUUUCUCGCUAUAGGGUUCUUAUGGAUGCUUGCCAUAACCUCAACUUCUCAC
rnacentral:misc_RNA from 1 species